UACGAAGGGGGCGAGCGUUGUUCGGAUUUACUGGGCGUAAAGGGCGCGCAGGCGGCUCAUUUUGUCAGGCGUGAAAGCCCCGGGCUUAACCUGGGACUGCGUUUGAUACGGAUGGGCUAGAGUUCGGGAGAGGAGAGUGGAAUUCCCAGUGUAGAGGUGAAAUUCGUAGAUAGUUGGGAAGAACACCGGUGCGAAGGCGGCUCUCUGGACCGAUACUGACGCUGAGGAGCGAAAGCGUGGGGAGCGAACGAGGA
rnacentral:rRNA from 1 species